AUGAGGAGCCUCCUGUUCUUCUGCUGCGGCCAGGUGGUGUGAGGCUUCAGCCGCGGCUCCAAGCAACUGGGCAUCCCCACAGCCAAUUUUCCUGAACAAGUAGUAGACAAUCUUCCAGCUGAUGUGUCCACUGGCAUUUAUUAUGAUUGGGCCAGCGUUGGGAACGGAGAUGUCCAUAAAAUGGUGGUGAGCAUAGGAUGGAAUCCAUACUACAAGAACGUGAAAAAGUCCAUGGAAACCCGCAUCAUCCAUACCUUCAAGGAGGACUUCUAUGGGGAAAUUCUCAAUGUGGCCAUCGUUGGCUACCUCAGACCUGAAAAGAACUUUGAUUCUUUAGAGUCACUUAUUUCUGCGAUUCAAGGUGAUAUUGAAGAAGCUAAAAAUCAACUGGAUUUACCCGAACAUUUGAAACUCAAAGAUGACAAUUUCUUCCAAGUUUCUAAAGGCAAAAUUAUGAAUGGCCACUGAUGCAAAGUCCCUUACCUGUCCACCCACUACUUGUCUCAGUGCUUCUGAUACAGUCUCAUCUUGAUCAUAUUUUAAAUCAAGCAUUUCCCUGUAGCUCUCAAGAGGUCUCCAGCAGUUCACUCCAUCAUGUUGCAUGGCACUAAGAAAUUCAUUCAACAAUCAAGACUUUAGUGUAAUAUGUUGAUUAAAAUGUAGCACUAGAAAGCUAGUGUCUUGUACUGAAAGUAAAGCCUGUGAGUGUGUGUGGAAAAG